GCCCUACGGGAGGCAGCAGUGAGGAAUAUUGGUCAAUGGGCGCGAGCCUGAACCAGCCAAGUCGCGUGAGGGAAGACGGUCCUAUGGAUUGUAAACCUCUUUUGUCGGGGAGCAAAAGACGCCACGUGUGGCGUUCCGAGAGUACCCGAAGAAAAAGCAUCGGCUAACUCCGUGCCAGCAGCCGCGGUAAUACGGAGGAUGCGAGCGUUAUCCGGAUUUAUUGGGUUUAAAGGGUACGUAGGCGGGACCUUAAGUCAGCGGUAAAAUUGCGGU
rnacentral:rRNA from 1 species